rnacentral:rRNA from 1 species
GAUGAACGCUGGCGGCGUGCCUAAUACAUGCAAGUCGAACGAGGUGCUUUUGUAGCAAUACGAGAGUAUCCUAGUGGCGAACGGGUGAGUAACGCGUUGGUGACCUACCCCAAAGUGUGGGAUAACAGUCCGAAAGGAUUGCUAAUACCGCAUGUGGUCUUCGGAUUUAGAAACUGAUGACUAAAGGAGCAAUUCGCUUUGGGAGGGACCUGCGUCCCAUCAGCUAGUUGGUGAGGUAAUGGCUCACCAAGGCUACGACGGGUAGGGGACCGUGAGAGGGUGGACCCCCCACCAAUAGGAACGUAGAAAC